GUAGUCAUAUGCUUGUCUCAAAGAUUAAGCCAUGCAUGUCUAAGUAUAAGCAAUUAUACAGCGAAACUGCGAAUGGCUCAUUAUAUAAGUUAUCGUUUAUUUGAUAGUGCCUGUCCUACUGGGAUAACCGUGGUAAUUCUAGAGCUAAUACCUGCUGAAAGUCCCGACUUCGGAAGGGAUGUAUUUAUUAGAUUCAAAGCCAAUGCCCUUCGGGGCUUCUUGGUGAUUCAUGAUAACUUCACGGAUCGCACGGCCCUGCGCCGGCGAUGGUUCAUUCAAAUUUCUUCCCUAUCAACUUUCGAUGUUUGGGUCUUGGCCAAACAUGGUUGCAACGGGUAACGGAGGGUUAGGGCUCGACCCCGGAGAAGGAGCCUGAGAAACGGCUACUACAUCCAAGGAAGGCAGCAGGCGCGCAAAUUACCCAAUCUCGAUUCGGGGAGGUAGUGACAAUAAAUACUGAUACAGGGCUCUUUAGGGUCCUGUAAUUGGAAUGAGUACAAUUUACAUCCCUUAACGAGGAACAAUUGGGGGGCAAGUCUGGUGCCAGCAGCC
rnacentral:rRNA from 1 species